rnacentral:rRNA from 1 species
CCUACGGGAGGCAGCAGUGGGGAAUAUUGGACAAUGGGGGGAACCCUGAUCCAGCCAUGCCGCGUGUGUGAAGAAGGCCCUCGGGUUGUAAAGCACUUUCAGUGAGGAAGAACGCCUGGUGGUUAAUACCCAUCAGGAAAGACAUCACUCACAGAAGAAGCACCGGCUAACUCCGUGCCAGCAGCCGCGGUAAUACGGAGGGUGCGAGCGUUAAUCGGAAUUACUGGGCGUAAAGCGCGCGUAGGUGGCUUGAUAAGCCGGUUGUGAAAGCCCCGGGCUCAACCUGGGAACGGCAUCCGGAACUGUCAAGCUAGAGUGCAGGAGAGGAAGGUAGAAUUCCCGGUGUAGCGGUGAAAUGCGUAGAGAUCGGGAGGAAUACCAGUGGCGAAGGCGGCCUUCUGGUCUGACACUGACACUGAGGUGCGAAAGCGUGGGUAGCAAACAGGAUUAGAUACCCCGGUAGUC